rnacentral:rRNA from 1 species
GACAGAGGGUGCAAACGUUGUUCGGAAUUACUGGGCGUAAAGCGCGUGUAGGCGGCCCCGCAAGUCGGAUGUGAAGUCCCACGGCUCAACCGUGGAAGUGCAUUCGAAACUGCAGGGCUAGAGUCCUGGAGAGGAAGGUGGAAUGCUUGGUGUAGAGGUGAAAUUCGUAGAUAUCAAGCGGAACACCGGUGGCGAAGGCGGCCUUCUGGACAGUGACUGACGCUGAGACGCGAAAGCGUGGGGAGCAAACAGG